UGGGGAAUAUUGGACAAUGGGCGAAAGCCUGAUCCAGCAAUGCCGCGUGUGUGAAGAAGGUCUUCGGAUUGUAAAGCACUUUCGACGGGGACGGAUGAUGACGGUACCCGUAGAAGAAGCUCCGGCUAACUUCGUGCCAG
rnacentral:rRNA from 1 species